CGACUAAACCAUGCGAGUCGAAUGUAGCCAAGACUCGUAGCAGAUAGCUCAGUAACACGUGGCCAAACUACCCUCUGGAGCGCGACAACCUCGGGAAACUGAGGCUAAUACCGGAUAUAUCGCGAAUGCUGGAAGUUGCAGAGAGCUUAGAAAGCUCCGGCGCCUAAGGAUGGGUCUGCGGCCUAUCAGGGUAGUAGUGGGUGUAAUGUGCCCACCGUGCCAGUAAUCGGUACGGGUUGUGAGAGCAAGAGCCCGGAGAUGGAUUCUGAGACACGAAUCCAGGCCCUACGGGGUGCAGCAGGCGCGAAAACUUUACAAUGCCGGCAACGGCGAUAAGGGGACCUCGAGUGCCAGGAUACAAUCCUCUCGCUUUUCACGACCGAAAGCAUUGCAUAGCAUAGCAAGGGCCGGGCAAGACCGGUGCCAGCCGCCGCGGUAACACCGGCGGCUCGAGUGGUAGACCGCUAUUAUUGGGUCUAAAGCGUCCGUAGCUGGCCGCGCAAGUCCAUCGGGAAAUCCGCACGCUUAACGUUACGUCCGGGGUAGGAGUGAAAUCCUGUAAUCCUGGACG
rnacentral:rRNA from 1 species